AUUGAACGCUGGCGGCAGGCCUAACACAUGCAAGUCGAACGAGUGGCGGACGGGUGAGUAAUGUCUGGGAAACUGCCCGAUGGAGGGGGAUCACUACUGGAAAAGGUAGCCAAUACCGCAUACCAUCGGAUGUGCCCAGAUGGGAUUAGCUAGUAGGUGGGGUAACGGCUCACCUAGGCGACGAUCCCUAGCUGGUCUGAGAGGAUGACCAGCCACACUGGAACUGAGACACGGUCCAGACGCCUACGGGCGGCAGUAGUGGGAAAUAUUGCACAAUGGGCGCAAGCCUGAUGCAGCCAUGCAGAGUGUGUGAAGAAGGCCUUCGGGUUGGAAAGUACUUUCAGCGAGGAAGCGUUACUCGCAGAAGAAGCACCGGCUAACUCCGUGCCAGCAGCCGCGGUAAUAC
rnacentral:rRNA from 1 species